rnacentral:RNase_P_RNA from 1 species
GAGGAAAGUCCGGGCUCCUUCGGACAGGGCGCCAGGUAACCCCUGGAGGGCGCGAGCCCAUGGAAAGUGCCACAGAAAACAAACCGCCAGGCCGCAAGGCCCGGUAAGGGUGAAAAGGUGCGGUAAGAGCGCACCGCGCGGCUGGUAACAGUUCGCGGCACGGUAAACCCCGCCCGGAGCAAGACCAAAUAGGGGAGUGCGUGGCCUCACCGCCACACCGCCGGUUCCGAGCGGACUCCCGGGUAGGUUGCUGGAGGCGGCCGGUAACGGCCGUCCUAGAUGAAUGAUUGUCCUCGACAGAACCCGGCUUAU